GUUGAAACACCGAUUCUAGUACGAUCACCGAAGUUAAGCAACGUCGAGCCCGGUCAGUACUUAGAUGGGUAAUCGCUUGGGAACACUAGGUGCUGUAAG